AAUAUUGCGCAAUGGGGGGAACCCUGACGCAGCAACGCCGCGUGAGUGAAGAAGGUUUUCGGAUCUUCAAGCUCUGUCAUCGGGGACGAAGCAGUGACGGUACCCUAGGAGGAACCCCCGGCUAACUACGUGCCAUCAGCCGCGGUAAUACGUAGGGGGCGAGCGUUGUCCGGAAUUACUGGGCGUAAAGGGUGCGUAGGCGGCCUUAUAAGUCAGAUGUGAAAUACCACGGCUUAACCGUGGGGGUGCAUAUGAAACUGUAGGGCUUGAGUGCAGGAGAGGAAAGUGGAAUUCCUAGUGUAGCGGUGAAAUGCGUAGAGAUUAGGAGGAACACCAGUGGCGAAGGCGACUUUCUGGACUGUAACUGACGCUGAGGCACGAAAGCGUGGGUAGCGAAC
rnacentral:rRNA from 1 species